UACGAGGGGUGAAGCGUUAUCCGGAUUCACUGGGUUUAAAGGGUGCGUAGGUGGGUUUGUAAGUCAGCGGUGAAAUCUCCGGGCUUAACUCGGAAACUGCCAUUGAUACUAUAGAUCUUGAAUUUUCUGGAGGUAAGCGGAAUAUGUCAUGUAGCGGUGAAAUGCUUAGAUAUGACAUAGAACACCAAAUUGCGAAGGCAGCUUGCUAACAGGAAUAUUGACACUGAGGCACGAAAAGCGUGGGGGAUCAAAACAGG
rnacentral:rRNA from 1 species